rnacentral:lncRNA from 1 species
CAGAAAGGAAUAGUAGACUAGUUUUGAAGAAGAAAAGAAAGAAAGAUGAAUGGAAAGGGUGAUAGUUCCAGUUAGAGAAGAAAAAGGAAGAAAAGAAUGGCUCUAUGGUGUUCCAAUAGAGGAAAAUCGGCACAACUAUAGCCUAAUGCCGAAAUACUACCCUCAAAAUCCCCAAGCCGAUUUCUCCUCCCUAAUCCCCUCUAUUCAGCCAACUCUAAUCCCUCAUUCAAAUCCCUAAAAUCUCUCCCC